rnacentral:sRNA from 1 species
CUUUUUCCUUCCCGCCGUGCCCCGCGGCCAGGCCGGGGCAGCUGGGAAGCGGGUGGGGUGGUGUGUUACCCAGUAGCUCCUGGGACAUCGCUCGGGUACGCUCCACGCCGUCGCAGCCACUGCUGUGGUCGCCGGUCGGCCGAGGGGCCGCGAUACUGGUUGCCCGCGGUGUAAGCAGAAUUCGACGUGUAUCGCUGCCGUGAAGAUGGAGGGGCCUUUGUCCGUGUUCGGUGACCGCAGCACUGGGGAAACGAUCCGCUCCCAGAACGAAAGGGCCUCGGGGCCCCGCAGCCGGACCCAGCCCACCCGCCGUUCUCUGGGGCAGGGCGCUGUGGCCCCACUUUUCCCACAGCGAGGAGGAGCCCCGGAGCGCGCGGCAGGGUUUUGAGACCGGCAACGCGUGGAUGUGGUGUCCGGGGCGGCGUUGGAAACGCGCCCUCCGCGGGAAAGCGGGCCACGCCUCGCACCCCUUUUUGUUUCAGGGCGACCCCCUGAGUGUCCAUGUUAAACGCCAGGUUUCAUUUUAGGACCAUUUACCAGAAAAAGAGUAGGUCCAUCCGCGCGCCCUCGGAUGAGCCCGGUGCCCUGUCCGCCCGCAGCUGCAUUCGAGGUCGGGCGCCCGGCGUCCAGCUGUAUCCGGGUUGACAGCUUCUAACAGUAGAGUUAGCCCAGGAAACGCCACUCGAGUGCAUUGACCCCAGGAGACGGCAGCGCUAACUUAGCAGAGCGUUUGCUGUCGGGCCUUUGGAUACCUACAGAGCUUACUGUUUCUUGAUAGAUUCCUAAUUUUUUUCGUAAACAAAUCUGAAAGUCACCACCUUCCCCGUUGACUACCGAUUUCUCUCCUCACAGAUAAAGAGAGUUUUAAUGAGCAAAAAACUUGCAGAAUCUGAAGGAAAAGGCUGGUAUAGCUGUACGAAGUGGCAGAGCAUGAAAUUGGUGGUUAUUACUUUUUUUUUUUUCCCCGCCAUCAGAUUCCACCCCGCAUCAAAGCUGUGCCAAAUAGGCUCGCUUUGUUUAGGGACAGGGUCCCACCUGUUGCCCAGACGAGAGUGCCAUCAUAGCUCACUGCAUUCUCCAAGCACAGGCCCGCGCCGCCGCAUCCGGCUUU